AAGAAUAUAGUUCAAUGGAAGAACAGCAAUUUAUAAAAUCGCAAAUAUAGGUUCGAGUCCUAUUAUUCUUGCCA
rnacentral:tRNA from 1 species